rnacentral:rRNA from 1 species
UACGUAGGGUGCGAGCGUUAAUCGGAAUUACUGGGCGUAAAGCGUGCGCAGGCGGUUUUGUAAGCCAGAUGUGAAAUCCCCCGGGCUCAACCUGGGAAUGGCAUUUGGGACUGCAAGGCUGGAGUGUGGCAGAGGAGACUGGAAUUCCUGGUGUAGCAGUGAAAUGCGUAGAUAUCAGGAGGAAUACCGAUGGCGAAGGCAGGUCUCUGGGCUGACACUGACGCUCAUGCACGAAAGCGUGGGGAGCAAACAGG